UUAAAAAUCAGAUAUCCUUUUAGUAAAUACUCCGAUUCGGAUCCGGAAUAUCUGCCUUGGCAGUGUUGGUGGUGGUCGUAUGUAGCGGUGUGAGGAUGAACUCUAGAUCGGUCUGCCAUUCGUCAAAACUGCCAUCAUCGGUGGGCUGAGUGGAAUGUUUUGGAACCUAUCAUUUCAAGGAACAAUCUAGAGUCGAGGGAUUCUUUGGCCGCAUCCUGAGUAUGAGUUGCCGUCUUCCUUCCCUCCCCAAAUCCUGAUCAUAGUUUUCUAUGAGCGUGAUAUACCGGAUACGAUGAUGAUGAUGAUGAUGAGAUAGUCAUCGACUAUUUUGUUUGUAUACAAACUGUGAACUGAGCUGCAAAAAUCAAAUUGCAAAAAAACUGAACCGUCCAAAAAUCAGCUCAAAAUGUAGGUUGAUUGCAGGUGGGGGCUGGAGUGAGGACUCAGCUUAGAACCCGUAACCAUCAAGAUUAAGAUAUAAUUUGUAAUAAGUUUAUGAGUCGAAAUAACUCGGUUUAUGUAACGAAAGUUUAUGACGUUUUUCUUUUAUUUCGUACAACUUUUUAGCUAGUCUAGAGGCCGGUACGUAGGCUCUCGAGUUGUAUGUAAAGACUUCCGCUGACUUGUUUUCUUAUUUGGCGUUAAUCUUGACUCUAAUUCCAUCUCAAGUCUCAAGUCUCAAGUCUCAUUUUGCCACUCACGAAUUGACUUAGUCCAAUUUGUCUACUUAGUAUACAAGUCUCUUCCAAAAGUAUUCUUACUUUUAUC